rnacentral:rRNA from 1 species
AAGGAUCAUUAUUGAAACUCACGGGGGCGCGUGCUUCGACCUGCACCGGCGGCGACGUCGUGCUGCGGUCGGGCUUUGCGCCCUCUUCCAAACCCAAACACCUGUGAACCUUUGGGAUGGCGCGCUGUAACGGCCUGCCGUCCCGUUUAUACACCAACUCUGAUGUCUAUUUGAACGUGACUCGGGGCAUUCCCCGAUUUAAACUAAAAACAACUUUCAACAACGGAUCUCUUGGCUCUCGCAUCGAUGAAGAACGCAGCGAAAUGCGAUAAGUAAUGUGAAUUGCAGAAUUCAGUGAAUCAUCGAAUCUUUGAACGCACCUUGCGCUCCUUGGUAUUCCGAGGAGCAUGCCUGUUUGAGUGUCUUGAAAUCAUCAAACCCCUCCGGUUUCUGCUGGAACGGGUUUGGACUUGGGGGUUUUUGCUGCCUUCUUGGUGGCUCCCCUUAAAUGAAUCGGUCGGGCUUUCGUGUGGCUUGUCCCUUGGCGUUGUAACAACCUCGUCGCUGGACGGCUCGCGAGUUUUGCGCCCCUCCAAGACCAGCCUCUGGAGUGGCGGUCAACUUCAAUUUUUGAUCUGACCUCAAAUCAGGUAGGACUACCCGCUGAACUUAA